AGGAAACAAUGUUCCUCAAGAUAUUCUUAAAGCAAUUUCAGUUGCUGUAAAGUUAAAUGGCGAAAGGGAAAGUGCACGGAAUAAAGAAAAUGCAAGAACAGAAAAAAUGAUGAGAACGAUUGAAAAGAUUGAAUUUGAAAAUACAAUGCAGGUACUGUAUACUGUGUGUAAACCACUGGUGAUUUUCAUAGAAAUUCUGUAUAGAAUUGACUGAGUCCCUUAGAAAUGCCAAGAUAAUUAUCCUGCUAUCCUACAAACAUCUGGAAACAGGU